CGAUGAGAGAUACACGUGCUUCUAAUAAAAAGCUGAGGACGAGCAGCAGGAUUGUAUUAACAUUUCAAGUAAUUACGACCGUGCAGUUGGAAGACCUUGGGCAAGUCCCUACUCUUCUCCGACCCUCGGUCUUUUCUUCUCUGCAAUGGGUAUGAGAACGUUUAACCUGCGGGAUUGUGCUUUGGCUCACACCCAUCACAGCUGUGGCUUAUGAAGCGCCUCCUGUGUGCAGAGGACUAUUUGUCAUCUCCCCUCUCUCCCAGGAGGGGAGGUUGGGCACCAGCUGCCCCCCCGACCCAGGAGAGGACAGUGAAGUUGGAGACGUGGCUGGAGAUGCCGCCGCGGGAGGGAAGGAAGUGGGGGGGCUGGGCAGGCUGGACUGACGCAGCUGUGAUGUCAGAGACAGGCCGCAGGCGGUGGCCGGCCCAGUGCGAACGACAGCCAUCCCCGGGGCCUGGCCUUGCCCACAAGAUUCCCAGAUUUCACAACCGGGGCUGGCGCUGAAUCAUGUACAGUAAGUCCGGGGAGAGAAACUCCUGGCUGCCCGGCGUCCCCAGGACCGGCUGGCCGCCAAGCCAGUCUUCCCUCCCCACGGAAGUACUGGAACGUUCCUGGGAUUUCGGGAGCAGCCGCCAGUCCUGGAAGCUGUCCCAGAAUUCUGGAAUGUUGGAAUUCAAAUGGCCUGCUGCCCAUUUUUCAGAAGAGGAACAUGACGCCCAGAGAGGGAAAGCGGUUGGCCUGAGGUCACACAGCAUGCUGGGAAGCGCUAGAGUUUUCCAAGAGAAGGUGGGAUCAGUAUCCAUCUCCUGGUUUCUCCUGUAUUGGGGUAAUAGCACCCCAAUUUCCUACUGGAGAACCUCCUCUUCCCUCAUCUCAUUCCAUGAGAUUUGGGUGGGGUGUCCUAGGACCCUGUCUCCAAGGGUGGACAUGUGACCAAGUCUGGUUCCAUGUGAUUGGUCCAGGGAUGGGCGUGUAACUAAGCCUGCCCAAUGAAACUUGAUCCUGGGACUUUGGUUGCUGAGAAUUAUUGGUGAUAAGACUUGCAGUUUUUCCAUUGGAUGGAGAGUGAGCAAGUGAAAGCCUGGAGCAUCAGGGGACUUCAUAAGAGAAAAACCUGCCUGAGAGAGAUCAACACAGAGCUAGACAGGGUUGGAACCCCUGGAUCCAGCCAUACCUGAAAUUAGACACACUUGGAUUUUUUUUCACGAGCCCCUACAUUUCCUGUUUUUGGCUGAAAACAGUUUGGUUUUCCAUCACUUGCACACAAAAGGGCAUGAUUGGCCCGGGGGAAGGGAGAAGGAAGGGAUUCCAGGCCGAGGAAAUAGCCUGUGUCACGACCCUGAAGCAGCAACGCUAGGGGAUAUUCAGAUAACAGGGCAGAGAGAGUCAUCCCCAAGGUGAGCUUAGGAGUUUGUCCGGUGGUCAGGGUGGGAGAAGGGAGCGCCUCCAAGCAGAGGGAACAACGGAUGAGAGUGCUCGGAGGGGUGACCAGCGAGUGAAGACUAACCACAUGCUGGGCUUGUGUUGGGUGCCGAGGAACACGGAGAUGAAAAAUGCGAAAUUGAAUCCAGCUACUUCUUAACGGCUCUGGCCAAAUGUGGGCUCUUCUGCUUUCAGAGCUGAGCCAUCAUACCCUUCCAGCAUGCUGUCUCAGAUACUCACAUGUUCUCUUUGUUGAUGUUGGGCACCAUCGGGGCCACCCAACUUCAUUUUAUAGGGUGCAGAGCGUCAGUUCACAUUGGGUCACAUAGAGUCCUUCCCUUUGCAGAUCUUUCUAUAGUUCUUCCUUUGCAUCAUGAAGAGCAGAUGCCAACCUAUCUCUAACACCCAAUACUUGCUUAUCUCCCUUGGUGAAAAUGAGCAAGUCUCAGAUGUCAUACCUCUGGCAUACAGCUUUUUCUAGCUAAACUUUUAAAACCUUUGUACUCAGCUAUGACAUAUGCGGGAGAAGAAACUGGCAACCCACUCCAGUAUUCUUGCCUGGAAAAUCCCAUGGACAGAGGAGCCUGAUAAGCUACAGUCCAUGGGGUUGCAAAGAGUCGGACACGACUGAAGUGCCUGAGCAUGACAUAUGCAAAGAAGUACUCGGCUUGAAUUUUCACAGCUGAGUAAUUGCUGCUGCUGCUGGUAAGUUGCUUCAGUCAUGUCAGACUUUUUGCAACCCCAUAGACAG